CUCCCGCUCUUAAAGCGCACACUUCCUGCAGGCGCCGCCCCACGCGGCCCCCGCCCGAAUCAGAGCUUGGGGUUUGGGGGCUUGGGGCCGGGACCCAGAGCCAAGCUUCAGCUUUUGGAGAAAUCAGUCCCAAGUGACCAGAUGAAAAAUGGCUCGCAAAGCAACAUGUGAAUUCCGGCUAGGAGAAUGGCGUUCAAGGGGUUAAUGAAGCGCUUGGUUGCCCGGAGUCUGCAGUGAGCUUCCAGGGUUUGAACUCAGGUUGUCGGGUUUGCAUGCCAAGCUGAGUCAUCUCACCUAUCACCUGCAUUUUCAUGUCACAGAAGAUGUACUGCACGGAAAAAUCACAGCAAUCAACAGCUGACUCAAAACGUGAGUCACAAAAAUUAAGAAAGAGCACCAUCUCAAUGGAGAGAGCACCAUCUCAAUGGAGAGAGCACUGGAGCGCCGUAUUUACAGAAAGGGUAAGCACAAGUGGCCCUGGCACCUGAGGAUCAUGAUGGCUCUUCAGUUAGCUGCCAGCGCGCAAUAUAAAUCCUUGCUAUGUGAGCAAGUUGGAUCCAAUUCUUCAUCAAAGGUACUGUGCUAUGGAGGCUGUCAUAUGCUCCGCGUCAUAUGAAUCCACAUCCAUAGUCCAACGGCCAGAGGAAGGGGAUUGGCAGGGACGGAAGACAAACCUUUAGAAAUGCUGUGGAGAAAAGGCCACC
rnacentral:lncRNA from 1 species